UGGGGAAUAUUGCACAAUGGGCGCAAGCCUGAUGCAGCCAUGCCGCGUGUAUGAAGAAGGCCUUCGGGUUGUAAAGUACUUUCAGCGGGGAGGAAGGCGAUAAGGUUAAUAACCUUGUCUUUUGACGUUACCCGCAGAAGAAGCACCGGCUAACUCCGUGCCAGCAGCCGCGGUAAUACGGAGGGUGCAAGCGUUAAUCGGAAUUACUGGGCGUAAAGCGCACGCAGGCGGUCUGUCAAGUCGGAUGUGAAAUCCCCGGGCUCAACCUGGGAACUGCAUUCGAAACUGGCAGGCUAGAGUCUUGUAGAGGGGGGUAGAAUUCCAGGUGUAGCGGUGAAAUGCGUAGAGAUCUGGAGGAAUACCGGUGGCGAAGGCGGCCCCCUGGACAAAGACUGACGCUCAGGUGCGAAAGCGUGGGGAGCAAACA
rnacentral:rRNA from 1 species